AGGGAAAAAAUGCAUUUUUAUUUCCGAUAUAGCAAGAACCCCUGAAACCGAGCAAAAGUUGCUCUCUGAAAACUUGACGAAAUUGGCAAACAAUCAGAAGAAAAUCCGGAGAAGAAAUUCCAAAUGGUUUCAGAUGGCGAGCUCGUGGAUCGCCUGCGAUCGUUCCUUCGGGCCUCCGAUCUCAACACGACGACCACCACCGGCGCCGUCCGCCGCCAGCUGGAGGCGGACUUCAAUGUCGAUCUCAGCGAGAAGAAGGCCUUCAUCAGGGAGCAGGUCGAUCUGUUCUUGAGCGAGCUCGAGAACGAGAAGAAGGAAGAAGAAGAGAAGGAGGAGGAGAAUGAUGAGGAGGAGAAUGGAGUGAAGGAAGAGGAGGAGGAGGAGGAAGAAGAAGACGAGGAAGAUGAGGAGGAGGAAGAGGAGAGGAGCAAUGGAGGGAGAAGCAGAAAGCGAAGUAGAUCUAACAAGGAGGUUAAGAAAAGGGGUGGAGGAGGAUUUGCCAAAGUAUGCAGUCUUUCCCCACAACUUCAGGAGUUCCUUGGUGAAACUGAGUUGGCUAGGACUGAGGUUGUGAAAAGAAUUUGGGCUUAUAUUCGUGAGAACAGUCUGCAAGACCCAAGCAAUAGGAGAAAAAUAUUAUGUGAUGAGAGAAUGCAUAAUCUAUUCAAUGUGAAAAGCAUUGACAUGUUUCAGAUGAAUAAAGCUCUUUCAAAGCAUAUUUGGCCAUUGGAUUCAGAAGAUGCAGGUACUAGCAAGUCAGCACAAAAGGAAAAGAAGCCAAAAAAAGAAAGAGAAGAUGAAUCUCCACCUAAAGAGAAGAAGCAAAAGGGAGGGAGAGGUUUUCUUGCACCGCUCCAACUUUCAGAUGCUCUAGUGAAGUUUAUUGGCACCGGUGAAAGUGAAUUACCACGGUCAGAUGUAGUGAAGAGAAUGUGGGAUUACAUCAAACAAAAUAAUCUGCAGGAUCCUGCUGAUAAGAAGACUGUCAUAUGUGAUGAGAAGCUGAAAGAGUUGUUCCAGGUCGAUUCCUUCACCGGAUUCACUGUUCCAAAGUUGCUCACAGCUCAUUUUAUCAAAACAAAAUAGUAUACGGUGAUCCUGCUGGUAUUCCCACAACCCAAGGAAACGGGCAAUUUUGUUUGCAAGUAUUCUCCUCCUGUUCUGCAUUAGAUUCCUGGAGGAAGGGGUAUUAGUGGGAAAAGAGAGUACAUUGAUCUCCUUACUAUUGUUAGAUUUCUGAAGGAGAUUAAUGGGAAAAAGAGAGAGUAAGUGAAGAAAGAAGAGAAAACUUGAAGGAUAGUGAAGAUCAAUCAAUCAAGAAUCAAAUCUUUUGGGCUUCGUUUGGAUACCAUGGUGUUUCUUUGUUGUGUUUUUGUAAGAAACCACUAUGGUGUUGUGAUUUCUACCUAAAGUGUUUUCAAAACACCAUGUUGAGUGUUUGUA